AAGAAUAUAGUUAACCAUAACAUUUGAUCUGCAAUCAAAAAGUAUUGAAUUCCAAUUUUUCUUA
rnacentral:tRNA from 1 species